CUCAGCGCCCGCCUUCUCAUCCUCAGAUGCUUCCUAGUAAGAACCCACCUUCUCGUCCUAAGUCCGGUCCAGUUGGUAUGGUUCCAAUCGUACCACCUUUUGGGAAGAGUGACUAUAAAGGAUUAGUUCCAGAGACUCCAUCUGAGGAACUUGUUGGCUCCAUUGAGUUCUGGGAUGAGGAUGACUAUGUAUGAUGCUGUCAGGAAGAAAUGACCAGUGAAGUGGAAUUGUUUUAAAAUAAAACAUUGAUCAUGUCUUAA